ACAGCGAGAGAGCUGUUACAACCUUGUUUUAAGAGCUGUUACAACAAGGUUGAAACAGUGGAACUGCUCGUUCAGCAGUUCAACUGCUGGAUUAUUUUUUCCUCCUAAGGAUGACCGCUUGUGUUGCGAUCGAAACGUUGUGAUCUAUUAUUUUUAUAAUAAUAGAUCACAGACACUCGCCAGUGGAGUGGACAACCUCCCGUUGCCAUGGCUACGGGGCGGCCCGUUGGGUUCCAACCGUGGACUGUCGUUACGAACCAGUGGGCCACGUGACCACCCCACGUGGUUGAACACGUGGGCCACAGUCGAGUCUUACGAGGAGGAGCAGUGCAGCCGCUCUCUGCUGUUGUGAUCGCGAUCGAACGGCAAAGAUGGAUGUGUCCAGAUGCAACCCGUACCAAGUGAUGCUCACGAUGGCGUCUUUAGUCGGAUUUGUCACUUGGCAAGGGGUGAUGGAGCCGGCCAUCUGGCUGCCACCCUCCAUACUAAAGGUGAGCGAUCACCUGGGGGUUAAUUCCCUGAUUGGAUAUCUCGAUAACCUGGGUGGCAAUGCUGCUAGUCUUGGAAAUCCCGAUGAUCUUGGUGGCAAUGCUGCUCUUCUUGGAAAUCCCGAUGAUCUUGGUGGCAAUGCUGCUCUUCUUGGAAAUCCCGAUGAUCUUGGUGGCAGUGCUGCUCUUCUUGGAAAUCCCGAUGAUCUUGGUGGCAGUGCUGCUCCUCUUGGAAAUCCCGAUGAUCUUGGUGGCAAUGUUGCUCUUCUUGGAAAUCCCGAUGAUCUUGGUGGCAAUGUUGCUCCUCUUGGAAAUCCCGAUGAUCUUGGUGGCAAUGCCCCCAUGGCAUAUGCCGACUUUGCUUCGACCGAUUUUCCGAGCCAAUCGAUACCGGACAGCAACGAGAGAGAAGACGUCCCCGCCGAGCAGAGGCCGUGCGACAUUCAACCACCGCCGGAGCCGCGAGAGCAGCACCGACAUAGCCUCUUGUCGACCGUCAUCUCCGCAAUCAGCACGGGAUUCAGUGCAGUGCAAGUGAUCGCGUGGAUUUGGGCACGCAAGAAGCCGCGUGAUGGCGGCCUGAGCCCACAAUUGGUGCGGAAGGCGUUUGUCUACAAUUCCAAGGCCCGCUAUUUCCAAAGGAGGAACCCGCGUGGGGUGAUGGUUAUCCGCACGCUUCUCGUCAGCAAGGAGGACGCUGGGAGGCCCCGCAAGAUGAAAGACUUCGCUGGCAGCGUGAUGACCGGAAGAAGACGUGUCCAAGACGGCGGUGGCCCAGCGAAGACAACGAGCCCUUGGAGUCUUCCCAGCCUGCCAAGCUGGAUUCGGCGGCAAUAGCGAAAUCGGGAUAGAACUGUUAUAAAACUGGGGGAAAAAAAAUAAUAAUAACAAAAACAUGUUCAUUUAUUAUCUACUACAAUAAAUAUUUAUUUCCGAAGAAAAUCACUUGUGAUAUUUCUUCUUGGUUGGUUCACUGCUUUAUUUACACACCUGUGUUAAAAUCCUAUGGUUUACAAUGUUUUUAAAAAUAAAACUCAUAAUUAAGGCUAUGGGGUUGUCACAGAAGCCGCGGUCAUCACGUGAGUUGUGAAUUUCAGGUCCGCUAUAACCUGGACACGACUGCAGAAAUAUUCAAUCAAGCGCUCUCGAAGUUGGACUAUCAGUAAAGAGGAGCCCUGGCAACCACGAGCAAUUGGUGAUGGUUAUCCGCACGCUUCUCGUCAGCAAGGAGGACGCUGGGAGGCCCCGCAAGAUGAAAGACUUCGCUGGCAGCAUGAUGACCGGAAGAAGACGUGUCCAAGACGGCGGUGGCCCAGCGAAGACAACGAGCCCUUGGAGUCUUCCCAGCCUGCCAAGCUGGAUUCGGCGGCAAUAGCGAAAUCGGGAUAGAACUGUUAUAAAACUGGGGGAAAAAAAAUAUAAUAAUAACAAAAACAUGUUCAUUUAUUAUCUACUACAAUAAAUAUUUAUUUCCGAA